rnacentral:lncRNA from 1 species
GAGGAUCUAAACAUGACUCAACACAAGCACCGGAUAAUGAACGUUUACAAGGGAUAGAACCACAAGGGACAGGUUUGUAAGAUGAGCUAACGUAGUCAUCUUCACAGUCAACCCACAAGAAUCGUUGACCAAGAUCUACGGUUAAUUUGACAGGGACAAGAGGUGUUCUUUGGCGAAUGACACUGACGUAUUGUUUAGUGGCUGCAUCUUUGGUUACUGGAAGAAAAAAAGCUCGAGGUCGUGGAGGAGUGUUUUGGCUGUGGAGAGGGAGAAUAUAUAAGAGGAGCAAAGAAAGAAACAAAGAUAAAGCAUUAAUUGUGGAAACCAUUGUUAUUGAAAGUUGAGAACGAGUGAGUAAAAUUGAAGAGCUUCUUUAUAAUGAUGUAAAGCUUCUUUAAUUAAGUUUCAUUUAUGACAGAUGGCUAUUUUAUUUGUGAAGGGGCAAGACGAAAGCUGAAAGAAUGCAGAAAUAAUGUUAUUAAAUUCAUUUGUUCGAGUAUACAACUUGCCGUGUAAAAAUUCAAUGACUAUAUAUUAGAUAUCGCUGCCAGAUCUAUUUCGUCUAAAGGAAGAAAGAAAAGGAACGGUGGAAGCAUUAUUCUAUUCCGUCAGAAUGAA